UACGGGGGGAGCAAGCGUUGUUCGGAUUUACUGGGCGUAAAGGGCGCGUAGGCGGUCAGCACAAGUCAGUUGUGAAAUCUCCGGGCUUAACUCGGAAAGGUCAACUGAUACUGUGCGACUAGAGUGCAGAAGGGGCAACCGGAACAAGCGGUGGAGCGGUGAAAUGCGUAGAUAUCAGGAGGAACACCGGUGGCGAAGGCGGGUCUCUGGGCCAUAACUGACGCUGGAGGAGCGAAAGCGUGGGGAGCGAACAGG
rnacentral:rRNA from 1 species